AGAGUUUGAUCAUGGCUCAGAACGUACGCUGGCGGCACGCCUAACACAUGCAAGUCGAACGAAGUAGCAAUACUUAGUGGCAGACGGGUGAGUAACAUGUAGGUAUCUGCCCUUUGGCCUGGAAUAACACGAGGAAACUUGUGCUAAUACCGGAUAAGUCUUUACGGAGAAAGCUUUAUGCACCAUUGGAUGAGCCUGCACUUGAUUAGUUUGUUGGUGGGGUAAUGGCCUACCAAGACUGUGAUCAAUAGCUGAUUUGAGAGGAUGAUCAGCCACAUUGGGACUGAGACACGGCCCAAACUCCUACGGGAGGCAGCAGUGGGGAAUCUUGCACAAUGGAGGAAACUCUGAUGCAGCGAUGCCGCGUGAGUGAAGAAGGCCUUUGGGUUGUAAAGCUCUUUCGUCGGGGAAGAAAAUGACUGUACCCGAAUAAGAAGGUCCGGCUAACUUCGUGCCAGCCGCCGCGGUAAUAC
rnacentral:rRNA from 1 species